GUCCUGAUGGCGAAACUGGUAUACGCACCGGGUUUAAGCCCCGAAGCUUUCGAGCAUCUCGGUUCGAUUCCGAGUCGGGACA